GAUGAACGCUGGCGGCGUGCCUAAUACAUGCAAGUCGAGCGAACGGACGAGAAGCUUGCUUUUCUGAUGUUAGCGGCGGACGGGUGAGUAACACGUGGAUAACCUACCUAUAAGACUGGGAUAACUUCGGGAAACCGGAGCUAAUACCGGCUAAUAUUUUGAACCGCAUGGUUCAAAAGUGAAAGACGGUCUUGCUGUCACUUAUAGAUGGAUCCGCGCUGCAUUAGCUAGUUGGUAAGGUAACGGCUUACCAAGGCAACGAUGCAUAGCCGACCUGAGAGGGUGAUCGGCCACACUGGAACUGAGACACGGUCCAGACUCCUACGGGAGGCAGCAGUAGGGAAUCUUCCGCAAUGGGCGAAAGCCUGACGGAGCAACGCCGCGUGAGUGAUGAAGGUCUUCGGAUCGUAAAACUCUGUUAUUAGGGAAGAACAGACGUGUAAGUAACUGUGCACAUCUUGACGGUACCUAAUCAGAAAGCCACGGCUAACUACGUG
rnacentral:rRNA from 1 species